CUAGCUUCUUUCAUCCAUCCAAGCUCUCUCCACCUGUGGGGACACCUUUGGAGAGUGCUCCACUUGAAUUCCAAGUCCUCCUAAUACACCUGUAAGUGGCAAAACAGAAUAGGAUGUUAGUUGUCUAGCACUGCCCUGUUGGACCUCCUGCUGCUCCUGUUGCUCCUCCAUGCCAUCUCACCUUUGAAGAAUUGAAUUUUUAUCAAAGGUGACAUUCUUACUAAUAACAACCUUCUUUUCCAAGGGAUCCCAUAGCCAGUAUCCCUUAACUCCUUGUGGAUAUCCCAAAAACACCAUCUUCCG
rnacentral:lncRNA from 1 species